AUACAUGCAGUCGAGCGGAUUGAUGGGAGCUUGCUCCCUGAAUCAGCGGCGGACGGGUGAGUAACACGUGGGUAACCUGCCUGUAAGACUGGGAUAACUCCGGGAAACCGGGGCUAAUACCGGAUAGUUCUUUUCCUCGCAUGAGGAAAAGUGGAAAGGCGGCUUCGGCUGCCACUUACAGAUGGACCCGCGGCGCAUUAGCUAGUUGGUGAGGUAACGGCUCACCAAGGCAACGAUGCGUAGCCGACCUGAGAGGGUGAUCGGCCACACUGGGACUGAGACACGGCCCAGACUCCUACGGGAGGCAGCAGUAGGGAAUCUUCCGCAAUGGACGAAAGUCUGACGGAGCAACGCCGCGUGAGUGAUGAAGGUUUUCGGAUCGUAAAGCUCUGUUGUUAGGGAAGAACAAGUGCCGUUCGAAUAGGGCGGCACCUUGACGGUACCUAACCAGAAAGCCACGGCUAACUACGUGCCAGCAGCCGCGGUAAUACGUAGGUGGCAAGCGUUGUCCGGAAUUAUUGGGCGUAAAGCGCGCGCAGGCGGUCUCUUAAGUCUGAUGUGAAAGCCCACGGCUCAACCGUGGAGGGUCAUUGGAAACUGGGGGACUUGAGUACAGAAGAGGAAAGUGGAAUUCCACGUGUAGCGGUGAAAUGCGUAGAUAUGUGGAGGAACACCAGUGGCGA
rnacentral:rRNA from 1 species